rnacentral:rRNA from 1 species
UACGGAGGAUGCAAGCGUUAUCCGGAUUCAUUGGGUUUAAAGGGUGCGUAGGCGGACUAUUAAGUCAGUGGUGAAAGCCUGCAGCUUAACUGCAGAACUGCCAUUGAUACUGAUAGUCUUGAGUUUGGUUAAGGUAGGCGGAAUGUGUAAUGUAGCGGUGAAAUGCUUAGAUAUUACACAGAACACCAAUUGCGUAGGCAGCUUACUGAGCCGACACUGACGCUGAGGCACGAAAGCGUGGGGAUCGAACAGGA